UUGCAUAAGGAUAGAAUUGCAGACGAUUUUUAUCCGGGGAUUUCACAGAAGGCAUCCCCCAAUUCUAUGUCUUGAAUCGGCACUUCAAGUUUAUCGACGAUUUAACCUUCCCUUCGAUGAUCGAUCGAUCCGUUAAGAAUGAUUUGAAAAGAUCGAUUCGAGAAUAUGAAGGGGUCAAUCGUUUCUAUUGCACGGAUGUUUCCUACCAAUCUCCACCCAAUCUGAAAACCAUUACCAGGGAUUAAUAUCAACAACUGAACCUUCAAGUACCGUCUAGAAAUAGAACCAGAGAAAGAGGACAAGGAAACCAAGAAGAAGAAAGGAAAGAGGAAAGAAGAGAAGAAGGUCAGGGAAAGGGAGGACAACACUGUUCUACGGCAACUGUGGGUGAGAGUCGGUUUUGGAUUGUGAAUUUGGCACUAGUAACAGCUGGUUCUGCGUUGUUCUGUUUAGAGGAAUGAGUCUUCGUUGGCUGUAGCUUCCUUUCAACAACCCUUCAUCUUCCUUCAGUGUUCUUCACAGUCGUGAGGAGAUCGUAUUGUGAAUGAUGAUGGCUUUCUUCUCAUUGGGAUAUCCCUCAUUCUCCUGGUUUUUCGGCGCUUUCUCACAACGUUCAACUCUAUCAGCAGCCAAUUUGGUCCAUCUCGGUUCUGCAUCUUCGUUCUCCAUUCCGGCCGGCGACGGUUUGAGCACUGGCUCUCUUUCUCUUGGUAUUCGAUGUAAUUACUUUGGGCAGUUUCUUCAUCAUUUUUCUUCCUGACCAGCCAAUGCAUGCGAUUGCCUUACUAUGGUGAUUUCCGGUGAUUGGGAUGCUUAUAUUCAUGAGGCUAAUAAGCUUGGUGGUAGACCAAUUCAACAGCGGCAACUUAGGCCAAUGAAUGAUUUAUUGAACAGAGAUUGCCUUGAUGAAAUUGGUUUGAGAGGAUAUCAAUUCACUUGGACUAAUAGACAAAGAGGGGAUCAACGUAUUGAAGAAAGCUUGAUCGUUUUCUGAUAAAUGAUCUGUGGCUCGAGCUGCAUCCUAAUGCUCAGGUCCAAUUGGAAUUGAUGGCUACAUUUGAUCAUAGGGCCCUCGUUCUUUAUACUGAGCAAUCAAGAGUUCGAAGACAUCGACCCUUUCGGUUUGAUGCACUAUGGCUCAUGGAACCAUCAUUCAUGGAUCAAGUCUUCUCGUCCUGGUCUGCAAAUGGUCGGAAUGGUUCCCCUUCAUUCCGAUAUUGUGCUAAACUGAGUGCUUUGGCAACAAAUCUAAAAAUCUGGAAUAAAAGCAUUGUGGGAAAUAUAUUUCACAAGAUUGAACACACCAAUAAUGCACUCAACAAUCUCCAAUAGGUUGAUCCUUCUCUUAGAGAGCAGCGAUGGUUUGAUCAAGAACUGGAAAUGUCUUCCACUCUCCGGCGUUUAUACUACCAAGAAGAAGUCCUUUGGCAGCAGAAAUCAAGGGUAGAGUGGCUCACUAAAGGUGAUCCAUUUACUAACGAUGAAAAGAAGAGCUAGAAAUGAGAUUAAAUCGAUCAUCAAGGAUGGCAUUACUCUCUCUGAUGAAGCCUCAGUGGGUGAAGCCUUGAUUAGAAGCUACAAAAGCUUAUUCACUUCCACUAAUCCUCCUCCUGAUGAAGAGUAUUUUGAACCUAUCCAGAAUCGUGUUUCUGAUGCAGAUAACAUCCAUCUCACAAAACCUGUUACUGCACAGGAAAUCACAGAUACUGUUCACGCUAUGCUGCCACAUAAAGCACCAGGUCCUGAUGGAUUUUCGGGAUAUUUCUUCCACAAACAUGGCCAAUUAUUCGGGAGAAAGUUACUGCAUGCAUUAUGGAAUUUUUCAGGUCUGGUACCUUCUCCAGAAAUUUGAACCCCACAAAUAUUGCUCUCAUCCCCAAAGUAUCACAGCCACUGUCUGUUGGUGACUACCGCCUGAUCAGCUUGUGUAAUUUCACAUACAAGAUAAUCUCAAAGAUCAUAGUGAGCAGACUGUGGCCCAUUCUUCAUAAAGUCGUAUUGUUUCAUCAAAAUGGCUUCAUCAAAGGAAGAUGCAUACAAGACAAUGUCCUCAUUACAAAUGAAAUAGUGCAAAAAAUUAAGAACACCCACAGAGGUCGGAACGGUUUAUUCUCACUAAAAGUAGAUAUGAGCAAGGCGUAUGAUAAGGUGGAAUGGACAUUCCUUUGCAAAACUCUAUUAAGCUAUGGCUUUGUUCCUGAUUGGGUCAAGAAGGUAAUGUUCUAUGUCGAGAGUACCCAACUUUGCAUUCUACUCAACGGAGCUCAACUCUCACCUUUCAGGCCUUCCAGAGAACUAUGGCAGGGAGAUCUGCUCUCCCCUUACCUGUUUGUUUUGUGUGCAGAGCUACCAUCAUCCCACCUUACUUUAGCCCUCAACUCCAAGCGGUUGAAUGGGAUUCAAUUAUGCAGGGGAGGUGAACGCUUGUCCCAUGGCGUUUAUGGAUGACUUAAUUUUUUUUGGCAAAGCAUGCAUAUCUGAGGUUAGGCAGUUGAAUGAUAUCAUCAACACCUACUGCAGGGUUUCCGGUCAGAGCAUCAAUAUUCAAAAGACCCGAGCACAGUUCAGUCCUAACGUUUCUUCAUAUACCAAAAGACAUAUAAGGGAGUUCUUUUAAAUUUCACCCCCCAAUUCACUGGAGAAAUAUCUUGGAAUUCCUCUGUUUGCAGACAGAUUCCAAAAAUCUCAAUGUGAUGAUUUGGUCCAGUGCGUCUCGCAGCACCUUCAACACUGGAAAGCCCAAGUCUUCUGCCCGGCCGGGAAAACUAUUCUAAUUCAGUCUACAUUAUUGGCAAUGCCCAUUUACACUGUCAUGCUUCAAUCUUCCAGUCUAAGUGCAUAAAAUGCUGGAUAAGACCUACAAAGAUUUCUACUGGUCGAAUGGUACCUCGUCUCACAUUCCAACAGUGGCCUGGUCGGAGAUUUGCAGACCUAAGAGGUUUGGAGGUCUUAACAUUAAGAGAACGGGCAGCAUGAACAAAGCGCUACUGGCAAAGAAAGGAUGGGAAUUGUUAUCGCAACCGACAACUCUUUGGGCUCGCCUGAUGAAGAAGAAGUACUUUCCCAAUUCGUCAUUCAUGGAUGCCAGUUGUCCAGCAACUGCAUCUUGGGGCUGGAAAUCUAUAUGUUCGACCAGAGAUCUUCUGAGAAAGGGGACAUUUAUACAGCUGGGGAAUGGUGAAUCAAUUAACCCAUGGACUGAUUACUGGAUCCCAAAUUUCCCACCAUCUGCAACCCCAUUUCCCAUUCUCCCUAAUGCUCCUACAUUGGUGGAUAUGCUCAUUGACUCAUCGUUCGUGGAGGCAAGAAGUUAUUAUGCAGUGGCGGCCUAAGGAUGUUGCUACUUCCAUUAUGUCUAUUCCCAUACCGCUUCAACCUCGGCCAGACAAGUUGAUUUGGGCAGCUACUGCGACUAGAACCUUCAUAGUGGCAUCGAUAUAUAUCAUUGAAGUUGGUGGAUUUUCUCCACCUCUUUCCAAAAUUUGGUUGAAGAUCUAGCAUUCCCCUUCCGAGCCUAGAACUCAACAUCUUCUUUGGAAGACCUUGCACAAUAGACUUUCACUGCCUGACCUCCUCAACCAACGAGGGAUGUCCCAAGACCCAAUUUGCUCUCUCUGCGCCCAACAUUUCCAAGAUGCAAACCAUCUUUUCACCACAUGCACUGUCACUGCCCAGAAAUGGUCUCUUACGAGGUUGGGAAUCAAUCUCACAUCCACACCAUUCAGGAAUUGAUAAUUAGGAUCUUAUCCAAUUUCAGACCUUCCUCCACGACUAGCCUGCAAACUGCCCUCUUUUGCUCCAUUCUCUGGAAUAUAUGGGUUGGCUAUUGGGAUCUCAUUUUCAGGAACAAUGCAUUUAAUACCUAUCAGGUUCUUCUCAAGGCAAUCAGAAAUGCCAAGGAAGUGUCCUCCCAUUUCAAUGUGAAGCUGGUUCGUCCUCCACGUUCACUAUCUUGGACAUCCCCUCCCGAUGGCUGCCUGAAAUUUAACAUGGAUGGUGCAAGCAAAGGAACCCAGGUCUGGCUGGGGUCUGAGGAAUUUUCCAGGACCACAACAAUGUUUUCAUAUGUUGUUUCUUUGGUGGUGUGGGAGUCAAUCAUGCUGUCACUGCGGAAGCUCUGGCUAUUAGAUAUGCUCUCAGGGUGGCUGCCAAUCUGAAUGCUCCGGCCAUUAUAAUAGAGAGCGACAAUCUUCUGGUUAUCAAUUCCCUCAAAGGCCUGGACCUGAACUGCCCGUGGAGGAUUUAUCUAAUUCUGGAGGACCGUCUCCCACUUAUUUCGAAUUACCAAUACAUCAGGUUUAAAUGCUGCUUUCGGGAGGUGAACAGCGUGGCAGACUCUUGCUUCCAAGGCUACAAGCUCUCAACAGGUCUUAACUGUUAUGUUUUCUCCACCAGCUUUUCUUUCUAAUCUCCUGUAUGCUGAUUGCUCUGGUUGUAUCUUUCUUCAUUAAUAAAAGUCUUUUACCAAAAAAAAGUAAGAGACAUGACCCUGAA